GAUGAAGAACGUAGCGAAUUGCGAUAAGUAAUGUGAAUUGCAGAUUUUCAGUGAAUCAUCGAAUCUUUGAACGCAUCUUGCGCUCCUUGGUAUUCCGAGGAGCAUGCCUGUUUGAGUGUCAUUUAACUUCUCAACCACAUUUUUCGUGAUGUGGCUUGGAUGGUGGGGGCGGUCCUUUGCAGGCACUUUCUUGUCUGCUCCCCUGAAACACAUUAGCGGUAUCUGAGCUGGCUGCUGUGGGCGUGAUAAAUCUAUCUAUGCCUCUGGUAUGCUGCAUGAACGGAUUGCACUGCUUCCAACAGAUGUGACCUGACGAAUUUGACCUCAAAUCAGGUAGGACUACCCGCUGAACUUAAGCAUAUCAAUAAGCGGAGGA
rnacentral:misc_RNA from 1 species